rnacentral:lncRNA from 1 species
GACAGUUGCCCACAAUACUCUGGAUAAAUUAAUGUUGUGACCUUGCCAUGGCUAUCGGACAUAAAAUGUCGACUAUUUUAAUAAUUGAACAUGUGCUUACAGCAAACUGCCUACUGAUAUCUUAGCUCUGUGGACAGUCAGCUUAAGCACCUCACUCCCAGCUCUGUGAAUCGGAAACAACAGAUGCAAAUACCACUUUUGUUUUUUCCUAUUCCAUGCCGUCUCUGAAUGUUACAUACAGGGAAGACACACACAUUAUUUAACUUAACAGAAAGCAUAAAAACAUUAACCAAGGGAGUUAUAAGAUAAAGAAGAAAGGUUUGAAGAAAAAUAAUAAUUAUAAACGAAUGGCCAUGCAUUUAAAAUAUUUAUGUCUGGAUCUGAGUUAGUCAGUUGCCCAGUGCCCAGGCUUUUUAUCAAGACCACCUUUGAGCCAACAGGAAUGUAGCCCUGAUUAAAUCAAUAUUUAUUUGAAAGAAGAUGUAUCAGUUCAACUAUGGCUGUCAUAGACACAAGAUUAAGGUCUCUUCUUAUUCUAAACGUCUAUCCAUCAAUACUAAAACAUUCCUAAAGGACACUCUGACUACAGCCAAACUAUUUACAAAAUAAAAAUUUCAAUGUAUUUUAUAUUUAAUUUGAAGAAGCAAUGCAGUGCAGUCUUCCUAGAUCAAUUAUUUUUAGAUGUUAUUUGAGUUUUGUUCUAUUAACUUAAAAAAAUACCUACGAUACAUCUGGAUCUAUAUCAAAUGAUGUAUUAUUAAAUUAAAGGAAGCAAUAACUACUCUAAAAUACUUUAAUACGACCUGUCUUCUACCUUACUAUUAAGGCAAGGAUCAUUUCUUGGAAAGGCCAUUUGAACUCACUGUUAUGAGAGUUAUGGGAGUUGCACUUAAAAGCACUUGUAAGGAAGAUGAAGGACAAAGUGAUCGACAGUUCAAACUUUGACUCAAAAUUCAUGGAUGUGCAGAAUAUAUUGUUUAUUAUUACUUGCAUAUUUUGUUUUAUUUUAUCUGUACUUUUCAACCAACAACAUGUACAUAACAAAUUAAAAUUAAAUAAGGUAAAAACUCGGUUCCUCUGUUGCCUUAACUAUAUUUCACAUAUCCAGGAGCACCUGUGACUGGUAGUUACCAUUUUGGACAAUGCAACUAUAAAACUUUUCAACCGUGAAGAAAGUUUUAUUGGACAGUACUGAAUUACACUGUCCCAUGAAAAGUGUAUGGAAUAACAGAUCACAGGGUCCCAAUAUUUUCAUUCCAGUCUAUUUUAAGAGAAAGAAUUUAUAUUGAUUUAUUUUAAGAUCUAAAGUAGGAAAUUUUCCUUUGACUAAAUAACAUCUAAAGUUUUAUUUACUAAUAGUUUUGAAAUAUACAAGAUUACUUAAGGGUAAGGGUUAUAUAGAAAUGAACUUCAAAAAGGUAGCUGAUAACAAAACCAUUAAAAGACACAAAUACUCAAGCUAAAAUCUCCCAAUAUAUCUGACGGAUGCUCAUUUGUCUAACCUUUGCAGAAAUGAGUCAUGCUUUUUAGUGUCAAACAAUGUAUAUUAUAUACUUCUGUUUUCAAUAAAGAAAGCCUGUAAUAGUAGUAUAAGCAGCAAAAAUACAGAGAAAAAGCAAUUUUAAAGAAUACUAUACAUAUAAGGGAGAAUUUUGGUUAAAAGUAGCAAUAACUAUGGUUAUACUUUUUUCUUUUUCUUUUUUUAAAGAGAAAAGAAAUAAUAAUUAAAGGGCAAGGGAGACAGGAAUCAGAUGCCAAUGAACUAGGAUGACCUGAUUGGGAAUUUCUAUUAAAUAAAACACCGAGGUGUGUGUGUGUAGGUGUGUGUAUGUGUGUGUGUGUGUGUGUGUGUGUACCUUCUUAAGAUAAUUUUGAGUUAUCGAUCAGAUUCUAGAAAUGAUUACCUUAAACAAAAUGAAAAUAAAGUAAAACAUAAAUGUAUAUGAGUUAUUACUUUAAAAAUUUCAUGGUGAAUAAUACAGGUGGUUUUCAACAAGGAAAAACUCCUCAUAUUUUCUUUUAGAAUUUUAGUAUUUAGGCUACGGGAUAAUUCAGUGUUUAACAGACACUUCUGGAUCGGAAUGCAAAAGGCUUAUUUGUCAACCUAAGAUUACUUCUUCCUUUCUCUUUUGAUAUAUAAGUGCAGAGCAUCACAACUAACACAGAAAAAUAAUCACACGGAUUUAUUUUCUUUUCAGGGAUGAUCCUUUAGACCCUGGCAUGUGAAAUCUAAUGUAUAUAACUGUAACUCUCUAGAGCACUCUCUCUCUUUCUUCCAACCUAACCCCACUUACAUCCCCCCACCCUGGCCCCUGCACUGCUUUCCACAAGGGCAUAACCCACUUGCCAAUCCAGUCUGUCGUCAACGUCUAUGAGGGGACCACUUUCAAAGCCACAAUAGAGAGAUGAGAUCUGAGGAAAGCAAGCCUAAGACAUGAGUAAUCAAAGCAAGAGCAUGAACUUGAGGGAGGUCUUGAGGGGAAAGUGACAAUAACAGCCACUGUUGUACAGCCACGCACGUGGUGAACGGAUAGAUCUUGAGGACGCUGGUGGAGUUCUCUUUCAGGAAAAAGGUAGGGUAUGAUAAUGAGGGGCAAUUUGGAGACCACAACAAAAUUAUGCCAUAUCAAAUUAUCUCAAAAUCCAGAAGAGUAUUUUUCAAUACUUAGCAGGAAUAUACGUACUAACAGUAGAGGAAUGUUUCUGCUAUGUUGAUGUGCUUCCCAAUAGGUGAGAAAGUGAAAAAUUAAUUUUGACUUUUUAAGAUGGGACAUUAGGUAAAAAUGCUAUCAAGUGACUUCAGAACUACCCUCAUAUUUAGAGUCUCAAUACUAUGGCAAAGGAGCAGUAAUAACUUAUGUGUUAGCUAACAUAGCAUAGAACAGUCCAGGCAUCAGUUAUCUGUGAGGGAUUGGUUUUAGGACCCCUGGGGAUAUUCCAGUCCCCUAUAUAAAACGGUGUAGUAUUUACAUAUAGCCUAUGCUCAUCCUCCCAUGUCUUUUAGGUCAUAUUUAGAUAACUUAUAAUAUCUAAUACAAUGUGAAUGCUACGUAAAUAGUUGCCAGCAUGCAGCAAUUUCAAGUUUUGCUUUUUGGAACUUCAUGAAAAAAUGAGGGCGGGGGAAUGGAAUAUUUUUGAUCUGUGAUUGAUUGAAUCUGUGGUUGUAAGACGCAUGGAUUUGGAAGGCCAACUGUAUUAUUUGCCUUAUGUUCUGUAUACACAUUUUCAAACAAAGUGGAAGGAAAUAGUCUUGGAGUCAGGUAACUGGUUCUAGUGCCAAUCUGCUUAACAAUAAAAUUGAUGGUCCUGGAUAAGUCCUUUAACUAUUGGAACCAUAGUUCUAUUAUUUUUAAAAUUAGGAGGGACAACUAGGCCAAUCACCAGGCUUAAUUCAGCUCUAAAAGUUUGUGCAAAGAAAGGGAUUAAAUUUGGAAACAUAUGUGGGUCAUUGCUAUCUAUUCUUUGGACAUAGGUAUGUGUAACUGUGCCAUUUAAUCCUCACAGUACUGUCCAGUAGCAUUUAUCUUCAGGAAGACUAAUGAUAAAUCCCCUUCAUAAGUCCCUGUGAUAUCUCACCUAAUAACUGAAUCUCAAACAUGUAUCCUUUCAUUUUAGUCACAUAAUGUGAAAAUAUAAACCUUUAGAUUAGGUUUCAUAUGGGGAGUACCCUACUUACAUUUAAAUUUUCAUUUAUUUGAAACAAUAUGUAAAAUAUUUUCAUGUUACAAUUAGGGGGAUAGUAAUUUUGUAAGUUUUAGAAAAAUAUAUAUACGCCGUUAUGGUACAUGUACUAAGGAAAAUUCAGAGUUUUCCUGGAUAACUUAUUUACAAAAAAUUAGCUUACAGAGAUUUUUUUUUUUUAAAUUGAAGAUGAGUACAUUGAAUAGACAUAUUUUAGGUUUAAUAAUGCAUUUAAAAUGUCAGGCUAAAAAUAUGUCAGUUUAUAAAACUUCCUUAAGUGAGUUUUAGAAAUUUUGAAUAAAAAAAAGAUACAGAAUAUCAAGUGAGUCACAGGUUUAAAGAUUGUUAUCAACUAUCAAAAGCUUUAAAAACAUCUUUUUUGAUUAAAAAUAUACUCAUUUUGAACACUGCUUAACUUAGGUGAGGUAAAGUUAUUAAUGGAUAGUUAUUACUCUGAUUGCUUAUAAUCAUUUUUAUUCAGAUUUUGAGUUUCCUUCAAUAGGAAAAAAUAUGCUAAUUUUGUAGUUUUUUUUUUUUUUUUUUCUUCCGCUCUUUUAGGGCCGCACCCAUGGCACAUGGAGGUUCCCGGGCUAGGGAGCUACAGCUGCCAGCCUAUACCACAGCCACAGCAAUGCCAGAUCCAAGCUGCAUCUGUGGCCUACGCCACAGCUCAUGGCAAAGCCAGAUCUUUAACCCACUGAGCGAGGCCAGGGAUUGAAUCUGCAGCCUCAUGUUUCCUAGUCAGAUUCAUUUCUGCUGUGCCGUGAUGGGAACUCCGGUUUUUUUUAUUAUAAAGAAAAGGUAAUACUUUAUCCACUGAUCAUGAUAAGUAGGGAUGGAACACAAAUGAUAGGGUUAAUUAUCUUAAAUGAAAUAUACUUUCUUUAUAAAUACUUUUAUUUCCUUUCUUGAUUUUUCCUAUUAAAUACCAUACCUUUAUGAAACUUAAUAUCACACAAUCAGACAUGUUCUUUACAAGAUUGUAUUUUCACUUUGCUAUCUCCAUGCUCAGCGACAGAGAUUGUUUCCUGAUUAACACACUUUUAGAAGUAUAAGUACUAGAAGACAAGUGUUAACUUUUCAAAUAUUGUUUCAUGAAGAAUGCCACUCUAGCACACUCUUGAACUUUAUUCCGAAGGUUUUCACAAUAGGUUGAAGAAGCUUCCAUUACAUGGGAGAGGAGGAAAAUAUUUCUAAGUAUUAUAAACAUCAUUUAAAUAUUUUUGAACAGUAAAGGUUCAAGUGUAUCUUGCAUUUC